GACGAACGCUGGCGGCGUGCUUAACACAUGCAAGUCGAACAGAAAGGCCUCUUUCGGGGGGUACUCGAGUGGCGAACGGGUGAGUAACACGUGAGUAACCUGCCCUUGACUUUGGGAUAACUUCAGGAAACUGGGGCUAAUACCGGAUAGGAGCUCCUGCUGCAUGGUGGGGGUUGGAAAGUUUCGGCGGUUGGGGAUGGACUCGCGGCUUAUCAGCUUGUUGGUGGGGUAGUGGCUUACCAAGGCUUUGACGGGUAGCCGGCCUGAGAGGGUGACCGGCCACAUUGGGACUGAGAUACGGCCCAGACUCCUACGGGAGGCAGCAGUGGGGAAUAUUGCACAAUGGGUGGAAGCCUGAUGCAGCAACGCCGUGUGCGGGAUGACGGCCUUCGGGUUGUAAACCGCUUUCGCUCAUGACGAAGCUUUGUGUGACGGUAGUGGGUAAAGAAGCACCGGCUAACUACGUG
rnacentral:rRNA from 1 species